rnacentral:rRNA from 1 species
UACGAAGGGGGCUAGCGUUGCUCGGAAUCACUGGGCGUAAAGGGUGCGUAGGCGGAUCUUUAAGUCAGGGGUGAAAUCCUGGAGCUCAACUCCAGAACUGCCUUUGAUACUGAAGGUCUUGAGUUCGGGAGAGGUGAGUGGAACUGCGAGUGUAGAGGUGAAAUUCGUAGAUAUUCGCAAGAACACCAGUGGCGAAGGCGGCUCACUGGCCCGAUACUGACGCUGAGGCACGAAAGCGUUGGGAGCAAACAGG